GACGAACGCUGGCGGCGUGCCUAAUACAUGCAAGUCGAACGCACUCUCGUUUAGAUUGCAGGAGUUUGCUCCUGAUUGAUAAACAUUUGAGUGAGUGGCGGACGGGUGAGUAACACGUGGGUAACCUGCCCUAAAGUGGGGGAUAACAUUUGGAAACAGAUGCUAAUACCGCAUAAAACCUAACACCGCAUGGUGUAGGGUUGAAAGAUGGUUUCGGCUAUCACUUUAGGAUGGACCCGCGGUGCAUUAGUUAGUUGGUGAGGUAAAGGCUCACCAAGACCGUGAUGCAUAGCCGACCUGAGAGGGUAAUCGGCCACACUGGGACUGAGACACGGCCCAGACUCCUACGGGAGGCAGCAGUAGGGAAUCUUCCACAAUGGACGAAAGUCUGAUGGAGCAACGCCGCGUGAGUGAAGAAGGUUUUCGGAUCGUAAAACUCUGUUGUUGGAGAAGAAUGUAUCUGAUAGUAACUGAUCAGGUAGUGACGGUAUCCAACCAGAAAGCCACGGCUAACUACGUG
rnacentral:rRNA from 1 species